rnacentral:rRNA from 1 species
CUCUUCGGGGAUGAUUAAACCGGCGCACGGGUGAGUAACACGUGAGUGACCUGCCUUUUAGACUGGAACAACUUACCGAAAGGUGAGCUAAUGCCGGAUGAGUUAUAUAAGUGCAUGUUUAUAUAGGAAAAGUUGGGGAGACCUGACGCUGAAAGAUGGACUCGCGUCCCAUUAGCUAGUUGGUAGGGUAAUGGCCUACCAAGGCGACGAUGGGUAGCCGGCCUGAGAGGGUGGCCGGCCACACUGGGACUGAGACACGGCCCAGACUCCUACGGGAGGCAGCAGUGGGGAAUUUUGCGCAAUGCUCGUAAGAGUGACGCAGCGACGCCGCGUGAAUGACGAAGGCCUUCGGGUCGUAAAGCUCUUUCGACAGGGAAGAAAAUGCCUAUAAGUAACUGUGUAUGUAUUGACGGUACCUGUAUAAGCAGCCCCGGCUAACUCCGUGCCAGCAGCCGCGGUAAUACGGAGGGGGCGAGCGUUGUUCGGAGUGACUGGGCGUAAAGAGCACGUAGGCGGUGUUGUAAGUCAUUAGUCAAAGACUAGAGCUCAACUUUAGUAAGGCUAGUGAUACUAUAAUACUAGAGUAUCAGAGAGGAUUGCAGAAUUCCUGGUGUAGCGGUGAAAUGCGUAGAUAUCAGGAGGAAUACCGUUAGCGAAGGCGGCAAUCUGGCUGGAAACUGACGCUGAGGUGCGAAAGCGUGGGUAGCAAACAGGAUUAGAUACCCUGGUAGUCCACGCUGUAAACGAUGGAUGCUAGGUGUUGGGCUUUUAAGUUCAGUGCCGCAGCAAACGCGAUAAGCAUCCCGCCUG